CUUCUCCAUAUGCUCGGCUGAAUUUGUUAGCAAUCUUGGAGGCAACAUGGGUAAUUAAAAGUAAAAAUCUUAAAAAAUGUCUGAUAGUUUCGGAUUCCAAGGGGGCACUUGAAAAAAUAACGAACUGGAAAAAUGCAGGCUUGUAUGGAUACCCAGUCAUACAAAUAUUUAUGGAAAUGAGCAAGCGGAUUAUUUAGCAAGAAAUAGUUCUGAAAGGUCGCCAAUUGUUAGAGCGGAUGUGGCUGAUUUUUGGCCGACUUUCAAACGCAUUGUCUGGGAAAGAUGGAAGAAACGCUGGAUUGAGAAAAUGGGUAACCGUACUUUUGCUCAAUAUGUGGCUCCAGGAUCCAUAGGUGUGAAACCUUGGUUUUUGGGUGUUGAUCUGACUAGAGGUAACAUAGUUACGAUCAAUAGAUUAAGAACUCAACAUUGUUGUUCUCCUGUACAUUUGCACAGGAUUCAUAUAAGGGAGACAGAUCUUUGUUCCUGUGGGGAGAGGGGCGACAAAGCACAUAUAUUUUUCGCGUGUAAAGAUAAUAUGGAAAAUUGCUCAAAGUUAUAUAAUGAUCUCUUAAAGAUCAAGUCUUCAGGGACUUUUCCACUUAACAUAUUUGAUUUACUAUUCUCUAAAAACAUCACAGUGUAUAGGUUGCUGUACAAUUUCCUUUUAGCUUCAAAGAUCAAAUUGUAAAAUACCAACUAUAGGAAAAAAAAAGUGUGUUUUAGUUGA